rnacentral:rRNA from 1 species
AACGAACGCUGGCGGCAGGCUUAACACAUGCAAGUCGAACGCCCCGCAAGGGGAGUGGCAGACGGGUGAGUAACGCGUGGGAACAUACCCUUUUCUACGGAAUAGCUCUGGGAAACUGGAAUUAAUACCGUAUACGCCCUACGGGGGAAAGAUUUAUCGGGGAAGGAUUGGCCCGCGUUGGAUUAGCUAGUUGGUGGGGUAAAGGCCUACCAAGGCGACGAUCCAUAGCUGGUCUGAGAGGAUGAUCAGCCACAUUGGGACUGGGACACGGCCCAAACUCCUACGGGAGGCAGCAGUGGGGAAUAUUGGACAAUGGGCGCAAGCCUGAUCCAGCCAUGCCGCGUGAGUGAUGAAGGCCUUAGGGUUGUAAAGCUCUUUCACCGAUGAAGAUAAUGACGGUAGUCGGAGAAGAAGCCCCGGCUAACUUCGUG